UACGUAGGGUGCAAGCGUUGUCCGGAAUUAUUGGGCGUAAAGAGCUCGUAGGCGGUUUGUCGCGUCUGCUGUGAAAACGCGAGGCUCAACCUCGCGCCUGCAGUGGGUACGGGCAGACUAGAGUGUGGUAGGGGAGACUGGAAUUCCUGGUGUAGCGGUGAAAUGCGCAGAUAUCAGGAGGAACACCGGUGGCGAAGGCGGGUCUCUGGGCCGAUACUGACGCUGGAGGAGCGAAAGCGUGGGGAGCGAACAGG
rnacentral:rRNA from 1 species